UACGGAGGGUGCGAGCGGUGUUCGGAAUUAUUGGGCGUAAAGGGCGCGUAGGCGGUGCGGUAAGUCUGUAGUGAAAUCUCUGGGCUCAACUCAGAGUCUGCUGCAGAAACUGCCGUGCUUGAGUGUGGGAGAGGUGAGUGGAAUUCCCGGUGUAGCGGUGAAAUGCGUAGAUAUCGUAAGGAAGACCAGUGGCGAAGGCGGGUCUCUGGACAGUUCCUGACGCUGAGGCACGAAGGUCAGGGGAGCAAACGGG
rnacentral:rRNA from 1 species